rnacentral:rRNA from 1 species
UACCAGCACCCCGAGUGGUCGGGACGAUUAUUGGGCCUAAAGCAUCCGUAGCCGGUUCUACAAGUCUUCCGUUAAAUCCACCUGCUUAACAGAUGGGCUGCGGAGGAUACUAUGGAGCUAGGAGGCGGGAGAGGCAAGCGGUACUUAGUGGGUAGGGGUAAAAUCCGUUGAUCCAUUGAAGACCACCAGUGGCGAAGGCGGCUUGCCAGAACGCACUCGACGGUGAGGGAUGAAGGCUGGGGGAGCAAACCGG